rnacentral:rRNA from 1 species
UACGAAGGGGCUAGCGUUGCUCGGAAUCACUGGGCGUAAAGCGCACGUAGGCGGAUUGUUAAGUCAGGGGUGAAAUCCUGGAGCUCAACUCCAGAACUGCCUUUGAUACUGGCGAUCUCGAGUCCGGGAGAGGUGAGUGGAACUGCGAGUGUAGAGGUGAAAUUCGUAGAUAUUCGCAAGAACACCAGUGGCGAAGGCGGCUCACUGGCCCGGUACUGACGCUGAGGUGCGAAAGCGUGGGAGCAAACAGGGAUAGA